rnacentral:lncRNA from 1 species
CUAUUCACCUCUCCUUCCUCUCACAGCCAACCUUCAAUGGUUUAUGCUAUUUCUUCCUCAUAAGCUACCACAUGACUUUAGUCUUCACCAAUUCACUAAAAAUACUUCAUUUACUAACCUAAUGGUCACUCUUCAGUUGCACCUCCUUCACUUCUCUCUGACCUUUGAUGCUGCUGAUACAUGGUAUUCAUUCCCCUCUUCUUGAAACCCUGACACUGCUCUUUUCCUGACACUUCUGCUCUCUGGCUAUGUUCACUGCCUCAGAUCUCCUCUUUCCUCUGCCCUUUAUAUUCCCAAAGCAAUUCUAAACCUUUCCCUUUACAAAACUCCUGAACAAACUCAUCCAUACCCAGAUCAUCAACCACCCUUUAUAUCUCACAAUUUUACACUCACACUCUAUCUGAAGCUCCAGGCCUCUAUUUUGAAUUAGCUGCUGAGUAUUUACUGAAACACAUUUUGUUUCUAUUUAAGCCUGCUCCUUUCUCUAUUUCCAAUAUCAGUUCCCUGUACCCUGUAUAAUAAAGAAUUUAGCUGGCCUUUGUCUCCAGUCCCUGGAAAAUAGCCUCUAAAUCCUUGGAAUUACCCUAGCGACAGGAUUAUUGUUGUUAUCACAAUAGGCCCUGAAAUUUUAUGCUAAUGAGGUGACUCAUGGUGGCCCCCUAUAUAGUUUAUGCCAACAAGACUACUCAGGAUGGGGGAUGACCAUGCCAGGAAAACCAACCAUGUGAUUAGAGAGCUGGGGCUUUGAGCCAUGUGGUAUCAACUCAACCUCUGGGAAGAGGAAGAGAACAAGAGAUUAAGAACCAUGGGCAAUCAUUCAAUUGAUCACGAGAGCAAAGCAUCCUGACUCCAGGAAGAGAGGGCGAAAGAAGCGUCACCUUCAGCAUCCUUCUAGAUCUCGCCCUAAAUACAUGAACUGGUCAACUUUAUUAAAAACUUCAAAUCUACAUUCUUGCAGGAACAGUUGCAUGCAGGUAAGACUAAACUGAUCCUUGCUAGAUCCCAAAAGACUGGGAAAGCCUACCUUUGAACUGGUAGACGCAGAGGAUUUCCACCACUACUAGAAAACAUUUUGAAUAUUAAUGUGGAAGGAUCUUUUUAAAUAGUAUUAAGACCAUUAAAGCAAUAUGCUUUACCCCAAAUUCUUCAUUUAAUAAUAUAGUUGUUUUAAAAGAAAUUUUAUGCUAUGGUUUCUAUGGGGUUCUGCCAAGAUUCACACAGCUUUGACGAGCUUUAAAUGAAAUUCACUUAUUUGCCAGAGACAGUCCAACUAUGGAAAUACUUCAGCAAGCACAGCCAAGUGCCUCCCCAGAGCUUUAGCCCCAGUUACUGCCUAGAGUAAAAACAAAACAAGAAAAUGGUCAAAAUGAGUCAAUCUCCUAAACUUCAACCGGAAAAGAGACAAGAGAACAAGACAAACUUCUCCAAUCCCA